GGAGAGGUGGCUGAGUGGUCGAAGGCACCGCACUCGAAAUGCGGCGUGGGGGAAACCUCACCGUGAGUUCGAAUCUCCCCCUCUCCG
rnacentral:tRNA from 1 species